AGAGGAAAGAAAGAGAAAAAGUAAUCUUUACCCUCCCCCUAUAAGUUUUCAAGUUCUCCCACCCUCAGUUCACUAUAUAACUUGUGCAUCCGUAUAAAUUUCAUGAUUGAUAUAACAGGUGUAAUGAAUUUAUUCUAUAAAGGCGUAUUAUGGCGUUGCUACUCAACUAUAAAGAAUUAUAAGACGACAGAUGCUGACGCGCUCCAGUAAAAUAAAAUAAAGCGUAAUGAGUUUAAGUUACCUAUUAAAGCAAAAGUAUGGUUAGCGAAAACUUAGUCUACCUGUUUAGUCUUAUAUAGGCUAUUGCUCUUUAAUUAGCCUAAAUUCACUUGCCUAUAUGCAACUAUGACGGAUGAUUUCGCUCUGCUGGAUUGAAGGCCUGUUCAAAUGUGGCCCAUGCAUUGUGGCCUGUGCUAAAGUCAGUUGCUUUGACGAUGUUGCACUACUGAACCAUCUACUCAAGCAGUGCAAUAGUAUUGUCAUUGCAUACGGCUUUCGCCUACUCACCCACAAGAGCCUUUAAACAUUGCUGUGGCGAGCGGUAGGCUAAAUGGUUAAGGGCGUUCAACUACUAUUUCAAAUGGCGAAAAUGGAGGUUCACACGAGUCUAGACCACCUAGAUGUAGGGCCCAGAUGUGUGCACGGUGUUGGAUUCAUUCCAUGCACAACAGCAUUGUUGUAGAGCACGCACCAGGCGUGUGAACCACAGAUUUUUGACCUAAGGUAUAUCUGUGAUACCAGGUUUUUCCACUUAUUUGAAAAUGCCUACAGACCACGCCUCCUUCGAAAGAACAUUUUGUACGACGGAGGUCGUUUUCGUUUGCAUUGAAAACCACGUGUUCGAUUAAGUAACACUCCAACAAUGCUUUGAAGUGAGUUUCUCAACCUUUUGCAUAUUUCGGGAACUUCUGUAUGAGGCCUGCCCGCAGAGAGGUGCAGAAAAGCACGAGCGGACACAAGUAAUCAUCUAAACGCCAUUUUGUAUGUUUUUGUCCAUUCCUAAAUGUCACUAUUAUUAUAGCUAUUAUUAUUAUUAUAUUAUAUAUAUUAUAAAGUGUGAUGGUCCUUUUGCUGUUUUUAAAUAUACACCCUCCGUAUGUUUGUUGUCAAUAGGAACGUGUUGAAUUUUCCUUAUUUUCUUUUAUUAUCAGAAACACACACACACACACACAUACAUAUUAGGCUACUUAUUUUGGGCUAAGAUGCAUUUAUAUUGCUUAUGUAGGCUCAAUAAUUGUAUCCUGCAUUUUAUUCUUUAUGAUUAAAUUAGCCUAUAUAAUUAAAAUCUUUCUCGCAGGUAAAGUUUGUUUAUUGUUUAAUCGUUUUUCCUAAUUCUUCUUAAAUUGUAAAUUUAAGCUAUUCAUUUUAAAUUUAGUGCCAAAGCCAUUUUUUUCUUACGCUUGAAUAUAUAAUGUAUUAAUCACUAUUGUGGGAAUUAAAGUGUUUGAUGCAAAGUGCCACCAGUGCUUCCAUCUCCGUGUAACUCUCCACUGAACAGAGCUGGUAGGUGUGUGACCAUAUAUUUAGAUUUUUAUUUCUAAUGAAGGAGCUCUUCCAGAAGGCAGAAGGAAGGGAUGAUUCUCUUGUUUGAGUCAGAUCGGUGGGGGAUGGGACUAUUUGUAAGGAAUGUAGGGGGCAGGUCCCUUUCCAAGAUGGGAGGAGAGGGAGGGAAUGUGAGGAGGGGAGGUCGCACGUAUGACAUUUACUCUGCAAGUCAAAAUCUGCAAGGUUAUGCAAUUUGAACUUUUUGGUUGUCUCAUCAAAGGAAUGGACAUCUGGCCAAACGAAGUGUAAUCUAUUGGUUGCUAUUGUUGUACGUAGGCAGGUUGGUGUGUGUGUGAAUACACUUUGCGCAAUACACGCAGACUUUGCGAGUCAGUGUAGUGAAGCAUAGUUUUGAAUCAAAUAUUUUACACGCAAUUAAUACAAAAUAGCCUACAUCUUAUAUGACAAACGCGUUUUUAACUCAGGAAUUAUUUCAGUAUUAUCCUUAUGAUUGUUUUUGUGUGUGACUUAAAUAGGCUAAAUCUUGGUAGUGUAAUUCCUGAAAUUGUAAAAAAAAUAUAUAUAAAUAUUAAUAUAUAUUAAAAAGCUAAAAUUGUUAGAGCGAGAGAAAUGAAAAAAUAAAAUUGGCCUAAGUAGUCAGUAGUCAGUCAUAAUAUUUUAUUAUUAUUGCUUUAAUAUUUAUAAGUAGGCUAUACGCGUUCUAACAAACAUUCCGGAAUUAUUUUGUUAUCGUGUUUCAGGAAAAACAAAGAAGAACCAUUGAAGACCAUUAAGACUUUACUGUGUCGAGGUUUUAGGUAAUAAUAAUAAUUAUUGUUUAUGAAAACGCACGCUUUAUUCAAAAGAAGUAGGUUAGGCCUUAAGUCCUAAGACAACUUUGUGAUAUUCAUGACUUAAAAAAAUAAAAUCGUAUUAUUAUUUGUUUUUAAUUCAUGUGGAUUCACAGUAGCCUAAGGAAUGUAUUUAAUAACUUUAAAUUAAAUAAAAUAAUUGUUUAAGCCACUGGACCUUUGCAAGUCUUUUGUAAAAAAAUAAAAUUAAAAAUAAAUAAAAGGAAUGUUAACUUGGAACUCGGCACACGUGUUUUAAACUAGACCUAUAAAAAGACUUCUCCUUUUCAUCAUCUCGAGCAUUUGUUAUUGACCCAUGUAUGUAGAGGCUCCACAGUGGAAGGUAAGCUUGAGACUCACAGGUCUGAACUGAGGAAUGUUGCGCUAUACCGCAACGCGCAUGCGCAGCGCAUUCAUAGGGCACUAUAGCAUACUGAGGCCUACAGAUUCUCUGUUCCCGUGAUCUCGGUUCAGCUUUGGGCACAUGAGGAGUGGGCGUCGUAUUCUCGUCCUCUUGUCAUGAUUCAACAUUUUCACUGUAAGUUCAAUGCAUGAAACCUGAUUGGUAAAAUGUUUAACGUGUUUUAUUCACGAGGGGGACAAGUAAGAUCAUGCAUGUGAAUUCAAUGUGAAAUUCCCUAAGGAAGAAAAAAAAAUCCUGUUGGAGCAUGUCGUUAACUCCAAGGCAGAAGCUGGUAUGCUUGGAAUUGCAGAGCACCAAGACUGCUUUUGGACGCAGAUAACCAAAGGGCCUACAAUAUGCUUUCCACUCAGUGCUUCUCAUAUUUGAAUGCCUUAGUCAGUCCAUUUGCGUGGUUUAGAAAGAAUGCGUCUUUAUUGAUAGCAUGCAUGUAUUGUUAUUAGAAGAUGAUUGUUUUUAAGUAGCCCAUUUAAAAUGCCAGAUGUGCUACAAAUGAUGUUUUUGAAAAAAUGUCACAUGGUUUAUGAUUCUAAAUGUUCAUGAUGUUCCUUUACAAAUGCGGAUUAAAUUAUAUGUUUGAUUUAAA